UUUAGCUCUCACAGGAUUUUUUGUGGAAUCUUUAGGUAUUUAUGCAUAUAACAUCAUGUCAUUUGCAAACAGAGAUAAUUGUAAUUCUUCCUAUGUAUUUGGAUGCUUAAUAUCUUUUUCUUACUUAAUUUUUCUGACUAGGACUUCCAGUACUGUGUUAAAUAAAAGUGGCAAGAGGAGGCGUUCUUGUCUUGUUCCUGAUCUUAAAGGGAAAACUUACAUCUUUUCACUGUUCUGGUGUCAGUCAUUGCUCCAGGAAGCUGUGAACAUUUUAAUGGAACUUUUUCCUAUUCUACAGCUAAGAGGAAGAGAUACUGUUUUCAUAAUAACAACAAAAAAAAAGAUGAAAAAUUGAAGAUCGGCUUUCCACAGAAGAUCUAGAUAUGUGAACAUGUAAAAAGAAGAAAGAAAUGAAAGAAGGAAAGAAAGAAAUGCCUUGGAAACCAAGAAGUCACAUCACUGAUACAGCCUGAAGUACAAUCAGACUUUGUUGGAUUGUUCCAAAAUCUCCCAUAUUUUAUAUGGAGCACUUCAUUGGAUAAGAACUAAAAUGGAUUUGGGCUGAAGUUUGUGUGAAGUAAUGGAGCAUAGAUUGUUCAGUGAGAUUUAUAUUCAUUUUCAUUUAAAAUUUUACCUUUAUAUCUUCAAAAUUAAAAUUUAAGAAAAUAAUAUAAUGAAAUGUCCAUGUGUUAAAAAUUUCCAUACAAGAAUCUAAGUUUAUGUAACUAAGUAAAAAACUCGAUUGUAAGACACAAUUUUAAUGUACUUUAAAAACAUGAUGGUCUUGGAGUCAGGGGAUCUCAGAUCUAGAAGAAGCCACAAAGGGAUAGUACCUGUCAUACUUACGCUUUGUAGUAAAGGCUUUUCCAGUGCUACUUUACAUGAAUGCGUGAUCUGUUUAAGCUGUAUCAUUAUUUCUCUUAUGUCAAUUAACCUGUUAUCUACAUUUUAAAAUUCCAAUUACUUAUUAAUCAAGUAAUGUAUCACCUAAUGAAAGUGAUACAUUUAAGAAGGAACAAAAAUAUUGAGUUUUUAAAUUACAUGCCUUGAUAUAAAUUGCAUUAUACAUACCAAAGAAAACUUGUACUAGAUUAGCUGUCAUUUAAUUGGUUUACCAAGCUACAAAUGAUUUACUUUUAUUAAUAAACUCCAUAACAAACUACUAGAGCCCUUGUAUCUACCUUGUCAUAGCUAAGUGAAAAGUCAAAAGUGGGAGAACUAGGCAGCUGAGUUAAUUUGAUUGUUACUGCUAUUUUUGGCUUGGAUUUUGCUAAGGUGGCUAAAAAAGAACCCAAUAUUUGUCUCAAGAUGUUAGAGAAAAAAUAACUCACAUUUUAUAUCACUGAUAUUAGUGUUUUGACUUUUUAUGUGAAGUAAAAAAUAUUCUUUAUAGUUAUUAAAAUAUCUCUUAAGACAUUAGGUUAUUUUCCCUAGCAUUAUAAUUGAUUCAUCCACCAGAGGAUGCAAUAGAGCUUUUUGCAGAUGAAAGACAAUGGAAAAGAGCAAGUCUGCAGAAAAUGAGAAAGUUAGCUGUCUGUCUAUUAUGUUAUAUAUCUAUCUAUACAGAUUCGUAUGUAGAACAGAUCAACUAAUAAAUAAAAGCCAAGUGACAACUCCCUCAGAUAUUAGAUUUUGCUUAAUCUAAAAUUGCAUGGAAAAUGAAUUAGCAAAACAAUCAUCACAUAAUUAUUUUAAGUUCCAUUUCAGAUAUCAGUUUCUUUUAUGGCCAAGCUUGACUUACUAAAAUUCCCUUUAUAUUUUUCACUCAUUUGAAUUACCAGAGAUGUAAUUUUUACAUGAACCACAUUUUGUCUCACUAGCAAUUUCUAGCUCCUGUGGUCUGAAUGUGUGAGACACAUUAUUUUUUGAAGCAUGAGGACCAGAGAGUAUUUCCAGGGUACCUUGGGAAGAUAUUUAAAGAAAUCCUUUUUUAUUUCUUCUCAUGCAAAGUAUUUGUGAAUAAAUAAACAUGUAUUUGUUAAAAAGAAAAUAAAAAAUUUGGUCCCAGCCCAUAUUCUCAAGUCAUUUCCUUACUGUAAAUUAUCAUACAGAUUGAGUUGUUGGUAUCAAAGCCUAUUUGAAUUUUUUUUUGGUAAAAAACUCACAUCCAAUUCAACAGGAGAUAUAAGAUACAUUUUGUGCUUAAUAGUGUUUCUCUUUAAAAGUGCCUCUGUAAUGAGCAAUGGAAUGAGAAGACAAAAAACUAUCAAGUAAUACAACACCUAGACACAAAUUACUUUAAUCAGAAAUACUGCUGUGGACAAAAAAGAAAUCUAAGACCGGAAGCGUUAACUUUAUGUAUGUACACAAUAGCACUUUUGGAUAGUUCCCAAAGGCACAGGGCUUACUACUUCCAAAAAGUACCCACUAUUAAGGUGACAUAGGUCUUGUCCCUUGAGCCUCCUUAAAGAAACAACAACUGUUCAGUAGCAGUGUAACAGAUGUUAAAAAGAAUCAUUAGCAAUCUAAAUGUUUUUCUGAGCAGAUGUCCCACUUCUGCUGUUGCUAACUUUGCGGGGAGUGAAGUGGGAUGCAGUGAGGAGGGGGGGAAGGAAGAAGAGUUGAAAGGAAUCAAUAAUAAGCAGAUCUUCAUAAGAAUUACUUAUCUAAUUAUAUCAAAAGGAGGAUUGAGGUGCUGUGUUUUUUAAUUGCUGCUGCUUGAUGAAGAAAGAAGGUAAACAAGCCAAGGGAAGAAUUAAACUCACUUUGCUCCAUUGACUUGGUGCAUAGCUUUGGAUCAAUGUAUAACAGAGAGACAAGCAGUAUUAUAAAGAGAUUUAAUUGUAAAAUUGCAAUUGUGCACUUUUCAAUACAUAUCAAUAGGGAAUAAGAAGGAAAAAAGAAUGAGUGAAAAGAAUGAAAAUAAGGAAAAAUCAGUCCACCUACAAGAUGAACCUAUAAAUGGGAUAAGAGAAGUUAUUAGAUGAGGUGACUGUGGUGGUAACUUUAUUUCCUUAGGGGCAAAGUAAGGAAGAUUUUUCUCAGGCAUUUUUCUUUUCCUCUGAAAUACCUCAACUGGAAAGAAUUCUCUAUGUAGAGAAAUUUAUCCUCAACCAAGUCUUUCUGUAUUUUGAAAUUUCCUUUCUUCUCUACAAAGACAGAAAAUAAAUAUACAUGUUAAUUAAUUAUUUGCACCUUCAAAACACCAUCCCUUUAAUGUUUGAGAGUAAAGGGAAAGAAGUAUUAGAGGAAUAUAAUCUUAUAAUUUUAUCUUUCAAAUGAGUAAGCAAAAUAAUUAUAGGCUAUUGUAAACUCAUGGUCAUUAAUAAUAUAGGAAACUCAGUGAAAGUAUAAAUUAUGCAUUUGAUAUAUUUUAUGCACCAUGAAAUGUACUGGUUAACAGUUUGAUGUUGUCCAUAUAUACUCAGAUUUCUGAUUCAGUCAUUUUAACAAAAUAUUUUACAACACAAAAUUAUGUGACAGCAAUAUAAAUUACUUCCACGAUUAAAAAGACAUUUUAAUACACUGAAAAUAUGAAUUUAGUUUGCAUUUGUGAAAGCUGAAAAACCCAAAGGCAAAUCCCAGUUCUGUAACAUAAGUCAGAUGCUACCAUUUCACUUUUUUGUCUCAAUAAUAAAAGGUGCCAGGCCACAGAGCCAUGCUAACAUUGUAUUGGGGGAACAACUAAUUUUAAACAUCAGUUUUGAGUGGCAGAUGACAUUUACUCAACAAAUGCUCAUUGGAAACCUAUUUUAAACCCAACAGUGUGUUAGAUGCUAGAAAUUAGAAAGAUUAAGGAAAUGUUACUACUGAAAAUUAGUUUAUAGUCUAACAAAUGAGAAGCUUAGUCCCUAAGCAAGAUAAUACUAUAUAUAAGUUAUGCACCUAGGGAUUUAGUGAGCUCUGACAAUGCAACAGAAGGUUUGUUCCUACUAGAGCCAGCGAGGAAGGACUGAGAGAGCAAAUGAAGUUUCAUUUCUGGUAGUCAGCUGCAUUAAAAGUUAGCUGAAUUGUGGAAAGUUCUUAGAAAUCAUCAUAAAUAACAUUAAAUUAAAAUGCAUCAACAAAACUCAUCAAAAUAUAAUCUUUCCAAAGCCAAGUGGAGCUUGUUUCUUCUCAACAUUGAAGUCUCCAGUAACACUAGCACAGUUUUGCAAACUGCCAUGAUACAAGGAAGCAUUGGUGACAUACAGGUGAGAUAACUUCAUUGUUUGAAUUACCAAAUCCUCUAAGAUUUGCAACUUUGCUAUAUCUGCAGUAUUACUAUCCAUAACUUAGAAAGGAUAAUGCAGAACCAGUCAGUUACUCAUCUAAUGUGGAAUCUUAAUGUGACAUGAUUUCUGAAACUGAUAUAUUACUAUACAUAAUUGGAGAAUAAUUUAACAUUCUUAAGAAUAGUGCAUUUAAUAAAAACCAUUGUAAUAAUAACAACAGAAGCAAACACAGAUAUAAUAUUUGGCAUAUGCCAUGUAUCUUUCUUUAUAGAUAAUAACGCAUUUUACCUUCAUGACAGUCCCAUAAUAUAGGUGGCUACUAUUAUCUCCAUUUUAUAGAUAAGUAAACUGAAGCAAAGAGAAGUUGGUCUUACUUGUUCUAGGUCACCUAGCUAAUAGAUGGUAGGGUUAUAUUUGAAAAACUCAACCUGGUUCUAAAGUCUGUGGUUUUAACCAUUCCACUACAUUUCUCUGCUCACUAAAAGAUAUAGGAAUGCAAGUGGAAAAAUAUUUCUUUUCAGGUAAUGCAGGAGAAAAAGGCAGGGGCAAGAGGAAAUCUUCAGCCUAUAAUAUUAAGUCCCACAAUCUCUCUUAACCAUCAUAAUUAUUUAAAAUAUAAAUACAGUAAUGCAAUAUGUCAAUAAAGGAAGGCCGUUCUUAGAAAUUUUACAUCAGUUCACUAAAGAAAGAACAUAAUAAAAUACACGUCCUUUCAAAGUUAAAAUUUGUGUACAGGCCCUAAACACUGUUUCUCUUCUCUAGUCAGAAAUUCUUGAAAAGAAACUUUGGAUCUUGAGAUGAAAAAAAUCUAUUAGGUCAUCUUGUCCAUCUCACCGCCAGUAGAGAAUUGUUCCCGACAGUAAAGAAGUUAACUUAUUGACAGCACUCUUUAAGCAGCAAUUUACCAGGUGAAUCCCUAAAGGCAAGAAUGACUUCUCUGGUUUAUCUUUGCCUUCUUAUCAUCAGUAUAGUUAGGAGACCCAUUCAAUCUUCUCUGCUGGAUGAGGAAAGGACAGGAUUCUUGAAAAUGUUUCUAAACUGCAGUAGAUUAGACAUAUAGCUAAUAGAAUUUUGAUAGUUUAGGCUUGUAUCACUGUUCUUCCUUCAUAUUUAGGCUGCAUAUGCAUGCACAUGUGUGCAUGUUCAUGUAAGAGAUAAUGACAAUGGAAUUCUACAAUAUCAAAUUUUAUUUUAUAAAUUGUUUAACAUUCUGUUUAAUGAAUAAGAAAGUAUGUGCAAUGAGCUAACAGAAAAUAUGGGAAAAAUGUGUGAUCCUUAAAUGUAUUCAAAAUAAUGAAAUCUCAUUGUCAAAAGUGUAUAUUUUAACCAAUGUCUUAUUCCUUAGAAUGAUAUACUUAAAAGGUAAGAAAUGUACCGGGUCCUUCUUUCAGUUCAACAUUUGUGCUGCUGUCAUCAUUUUCUCUAUGCAUAUUCUAUGGGAUUAUUUUGUACAAAACAGUUGUAAAGAAAAUAGGUUUGUUAUCAACAGUUCAAUUAAUACUAGUCUCUUUAAAUUUCAUGCCAUUUUAGAAAAAAGGAGAGAGUACCUCAAUCCUCUUACUGGAUAGCCUAAGUUUAUUGUCACUGUUUACAUGUCUUAUUUUAAUUCUCACUCCUCUUCAGAAAUUUGUGUUAACAAAAGAGCUAAUAGUCUGUACAGUGCAAGAAGCAGCUAUCUAUCUAUCUAUCUACUGUCCAAAUUGCCAAAAGGUCAUCUUGCUUCAAAAUAUAUUCUACUACCUAUUUUUAAAGUAAUGCAUUAUAUAUCUAAACACCACUGAUAAACACAAAUAUUGUACAUUGAUCCCACAUCCUCAAUUAUGGUAGACCGCUCUGUGACAUCAGCAGAGAAUGAAAAGAUAUCAGAAAUGACAGAAGGGAGAUGGAUGGAUGGAGCAAAAGGAAGAUAUGGUCAAGAGGUUCUUCUGAAAAACUUGUAGUUCAAAUGAGUUUCAGAGGAAGGAGAGGAAUGAUGAAUGAGCAAAGAGGGAGAAAUGAUAGUGUUAAGAACAAUAAACAAAAACCAACUUGCUUGUAUUUUAUCCAUACUUUGACAUGAAUGCCAGGACCUAGAGCCAUGAGAUGGUAGUCAACAGCUACUGAUGUUAGAAUGAAGGUUAUGACUCUUUGGGACCCAAUCAAACUGACAAGCUUUUGCAUAGCGAUGGAAACCAAAAAGAAACCAAAAAGACAACUUACAGAAUGGGAGAAAAUAGUUUCAAAUGAUGCA